rnacentral:lncRNA from 1 species
GAUUGGGAUUAUCGAAGAAAGGCUGAGGCAGGAGGAUCACAAGUUCAAGGCCAGCCUCAGCAACUUAGCAAAAGUCUCAUCAAUUUAGUGAGACCCUGUUUCAAAAUAGAAAAUAAAAAUGACUGGGGAUGUAACUGGUUUUCAUCCUCACCACCAAGUGAUGAUGAUGAUGAUGAUGAUGAUGAUGAUAAUUUAUGUGACUUUUUCCCUUGCUCUAGGAGAUGAAAAAAAUAAUGUCUUCUGCAAGGUAAUUAACUUUAUCAUUUUUUUCCAGUACUGGAGGUUGAACCCAGAGCCUGUGCAUGCUAAGCAAGUGUUCAAUCACUGAGUUACAACCCCAGCCCCAAAUUUUAUUAUCUUUUUAAAAACUGUUCCCAGUUGUAACUGGAAAACUUACUGACUAUGCUUAUGAGGGGGGAAUUCUCUUCAAAGUGAAGAUCAAGAUUAAAGUUAUCCUCCAAUUCAUGAGGGUGGCCACUCAGAGCUGUUUUUGGUGACCUGUUGCCAACUUCCAUCUAUCCUAUGUGGAUAAUUUAUCCUACCUCAUCCCAUCUCCUUGGGAAGAAGUAAGAUACAGUUGUUAAGACUUUGGGGUCAAAAGCUCCAUCACUUUCCAGGGGAACUUUUUAGGCAAAUUAUUUACAGUAUAUGAACCCUAAUGUCUGCAUUCAAAAUGUGAAAAUGCUUUGUUUGUCACAGCCUUCCUUAGAGGUUAAAUGAGAUCACAUCUAUCUGGUACCUUUGCAUUAAUGGUUGUUACUAAUACACAGUCUCUGUGAAAUCCUCAUCCAGUUGAAAAAUAGGCUUUAAAAAUUCUCCAACUUCUCAAAGAAAACAUGCCCUCUUUUUUUUUUAAAUGGAGGCACAUGCUGGGGAAAAAAGAUUUUUCUGGAAAAGACAUAGCUUUAUGAAAGGAACUGAAAAUUCUCUCCUUCUUUCUCAGCUCCCCAAAUUGAACUAUUGGUCUUGUUUGGCAACUCAGCUACACAGGAACGCAGUGUAUUAGGCUGGACCAUAAAGGCCAAUAGAACCUGAAAAUAUAACCUGUUCCUACAGAGAUGAUAGAGGACUAACCCAUGUUGCCCCUGGCAGAACAUUUUGUUUAGCCACAAUGUUUUUCAAAGCUACAGAACACUCUAGUUGUUCUGUUGUAUACAAUGUGCUUAUUCUUUGGCCUUACUAGCUCUAUAUUAAAGCUUAUUUGUCUACCCCAUGGACACCUCUAACACUUGCACACACACACACACACACACACACCCAAUAUACACACUAAUGCUUAAAUUGAACAAGGAGACUAUAAAUAGAAAACAACUCUUCUCAAGAUAAUAAAUAAAGGAUCAGCUUAGAUUUCCCUCGCCAACUGUGAUUCUAUUGGAGUUCCUC